AUAAGGAAACCAGUCCUAUCUGAUUAGGGCCCCACCCUUACGACUUCACCUAACCUUAAUUACUUCCCCAACUGCCCAGUCUCCAAGUACAGGCAUACUGGGGGCUUAAGGCUUCGCCACAUGAAUUUGGAGAGGGCACAAUCCAGUCCACAUCACCAGCCUUCUCAGUUCGUGGCCCCUGUGCUUGCACCUCGUGCACAGACUCACGCCUGCCCUUUGGAUCUGCCUGGUGGCACCGCCUCUUGGGGUUGACGUCUGGUUUCCCUUCUCAAUGGUGGCCCAUCUGGCCUUGGAUUCCUCACCCCGGGAAGCAUCCUGUUGAAACCAGUCUACCCUUGCCCUUGUCUGACACAGCCCUCCAGGGUAACGAGCACUCACACCCUUCAGGGACUCUGUGGGCUGCCUGGACGGUGUUUUCCACUCCCGCCAAACUCAUCUGCAAUCUUCGGGACUCGCCGCGACCCCUCCUAAUCCUGCAUGCCGUUUCUGCUCACCCCUCACUGCCCCCGCGGCGGGCCUCAGAGUUCCCUCCUGUGCGUCUUCUCUCUCGCCUUUAAAGCUUCCACCAAACCCUGCCGUAGAGGCCCUUUUAGGCAACAGGCUUGAGCAGUGGAAACUUGAGCAAAGGCAAAAGGGCCGAGAGUGACCGCCGAGCUGCCUGCGAACAGGCUCACGGAGCCAGGGGCCCUAACAGACCAGUGGGCUACUUACAACCGGUCACAGGUACCAAAUACACGCCACACUCCCUCACUCUGGCCCCGCACCACCGCCUGUGCAAUCUCUCCUUUGCUGUCCUGCUCGCUGCUCACUGCAGGGUGUUCCAUAAACUCCUGUCCCUUUUGUUCUGCCUUAGGUGAAUUCUUUCAGUGCUGUGCCACCUGCCCCCACUUAAUCAGUAAGCCCCACACCUAAUGCAGCGGCCAAUAUUGUGCCUGUUGGACCCACUGUUCCCUUUAGGAAGACAGGGGCUCUUGUCACCGUCUCUGACGCCUCACAGAGGGGGUUAGCACAGCGUGGGCACAGUGCACGGUAAGGGGGGGCUUGGGUUUGUUGCCUUUGAUCCCCUCCUCCCUAGUCCCUUUCGGAUUGUACCCAGGUGUGCAGUGGGGACAGUCUGCGGGGACAGAGAGGGAGUUGGCCACUUCUAGGCCGAAUGGGUGAAGAAUCUUUUGGGUUCUUAAUCAUUUGGUUUAAAAAACUAAAGCCACCGCCCUGCUUCCGGUAAACUCGAGCCCUGCUUCAGCACAACAGAUAACCUCUAAGGAGUAACUGGGUGGGGUGAUCAUUAACAUUUUCCAAGACCACUGACUCCCAGAGACCCCCUAGCUCCAGGACCUAAGUGACCUAUGAAGGACACCUAAACACCUGUCUGUGUUCUUGGAUGCCUGAGAAGACUCGUGCACCAGACCACUGUCCUCAGUAAAACCCCCAGGCACCAAACGAAGAUGAGACUCACUCUUAUUUCCUUUCCGAGGGUCCCAGACACUAUGCUUCUAUCUGCACUCUCUUUAUAUCCUCAAUAAACUCACUUCUUCUCAGCUUA